rnacentral:rRNA from 1 species
UGGGGGAAUAUUGCACAAUGGGCGCAAGCCUGAUGCAGCCAUGCCGCGUGUGUGAAGAAGGCCUUCGGGUUGUAAAGCACUUUCAGCGAGGAGGAAGGUGGUGAACUUAAUACGUUCAUCAAUUGACGUUACUCGCAGAAGAAGCACCGGCUAACUCCGUGCCAGCAGCCGCGGUAAUACGGAGGGUGCAAGCGUUAAUCGGAAUUACUGGGCGUAAAGCGCACGCAGGCGGUUUGUUAAGUCAGAUGUGAAAUCCCCGGGCUCAACCUGGGAACUGCAUUUGAAACUGGCAAGCUAGAGUCUCGUAGAGGGGGGUAGAAUUCCAGGUGUAGCGGUGAAAUGCGUAGAGAUCUGGAGGAAUACCGGCGGCGAAGGCGGCCCCCCUGGACGAAGACUGACGCUCAGGUGCGAAA